UCCCUGGCGGUGUCCACGGCCAGCGUGGGAUCCUUGCUCGCCAGGCUGCGGCUGGCACUGCAGCCCCUCAGUUUCCUAUUCUGGACCCAGGGCCUUGGCUUGCAUUUGCCCGCGGUCGCUCCCUGCUGUCUUUUGGGACAAUCCUGCAGCCAGCCCAGGGUCCCCGCAAUGUGCUGAGGGCUCGGGUUCUUUCCGCAGGACAGUCCUCGUAGUAACUCCUCGUCGUCCGGACCUGCCCAACCCUCCUCAUUCAUUCGCCCCGAAGGUUCUAGGCCUUCCAGGGGAGGGGCUUCGUCCCUUGGAGCUGUGCCUUUAAGAACUGGGCACCAACCCCCCUCAGUCACGUGACUGUCGCCUAGCACCGAGACGCCGCGCCACAGCCUUGGUGCGCAGAGCUGGUUUCCUGCAGCGGCCAAAUGUCAGAGGAAAACCCCCAGGAGUUCGCGGAGCCUGCGGCGGCCAAGGCCGAGGCCCCCCCGGAGAAGACAAGCGACUACUACCGCGUGAGCGAGCACCUGCCCGUCCGGUUCAACAACCCAGGGUGGUUUCGAGGCUACAGAGUCAAGGAGGCCGCCUCAGUGUACAGGACCAGCAACCAGGUUUACGGGAGCAGAGCACCCAGCGUGCACGAGAUGCCGAAAGUAUUUUAUACAAAUUCAAGUAAGUUUUCCAGACAGCUCUCAGCUACUGGAAUGUUCCAGGAUAAUACGCUCAAUGUCUGCAUGGAGAACAGCCUGGUGACAGGGCCCGACAACUACAUCACCCCCUGUGACAGGCUCAACUUCCACCCCAGUUACAACGUCAGUAGACCAUCCAUCUGUGACUAAGGGGGAGCGAGAGCCCCUUCCCCGGAGUCCUCUCCUCCAGCUGCCACCCUGUGGCUUGAUGCUUUGCCCAGUUGUAAAGCUCCAGCACUCCCGAGCACCUGAAGCAAAGGUCAAGCAGCUAGCACUGUUCCAGAUACUCAAUCACUCUGGAGAUGGACUUCUGGCCCGUCGUCCCAACAGCACAAAAGGAAGAAUCAAAGCACCAGGACGUUUCCAUGCUGACGAGGCAGUGCCGGUUCCGAGCGCUGUACUCCACUUGAUUUAUCAGUAGACCCAAGCCCAGCACCCGAAGGUCGAAUCUCUGCCCCUGAGAAGCACUUAAGUGAACAAAUAUGCCACAACGAAGCUGUCACAAGUACAUCGAGACGGCUCAGGACAGAAAGGAACAGCAGGUCCUGCUCCGCACACCUCCAACCCAGCAGGUGCGCACUUGGACAGCAGGGGGUGUGGGUCCAUGUUUGGGCAGAGAAAUGAAUCCCCCGGGGUGCACAGGGCUAGAAAACCCACUCCCGUCUGAGACCACUGACCAAAUUCAGUUACAAAGUAGACAGCACCUCAGCUAAACUCCCAACAAGGAAUGCAACAAGGGUGAGUGACAAUCACAAAGUAGAGGUUGUGACCAUCAGUGGCCAGAAUGGAAGGCCAGGAAGUCAGAGACCUUAACACCAAAGACAAGGGCCAGCACUCCAACCUCUCCUGGGGGCUGCAAGGGCCCUUCUGGGCCUGCCCCAAGGAGGCAGCCACAGAAAGCCUGGCCCCCAGCUAGGCCGGGGUCCUGGGGAGGCUCGUCCUCAGUACUGGGCUUUCCGUCAGCAGUGGCCAAGUGGGGACCGAGCGCCCAGCAGCUGUGCUUACUCACUCAUGGGCACAAAAUGAGGACAGGACUGUUACGAUGCACGUGUGCUGUUACCUUUCAGAACCUCAACUGAAAAGACAAACGGGGGUCUCGGGGAGAGAGGUUUAUUGGGAUGCUGAAGUCAUCCAGUGACUGGAUGAGCCGGACACUGAAGACCAGCUCGGGCUGUGGGCCCAGCUACAGAGCGAGUGCCACUGGGAUCUCCGCCGAUUCCCACACGGUAGAGACACAGGCAGUGGGCUCACUGGCCAUUGUGCUUUCCAAGGUUGUGACUGCAGUUUUCAGGGGAAGGGCGCUGGCUGCAGGCCCUUGGGUGUCCUUCAGUGCCGUCUUAGGAGCUUCCCGAUGGGCACCUCGGGCAUCCACCUCCCUGCUUCUGGACAGGGCACCUGCCACCUUCCAGGGUAGGUUCCACGAGCAAUCUGCCCACAAGGACCAGGUUGUCUCUGGCCCUCGCGGUGACAUAACCACCAAAAGUUUGCUCAUCUAGAACUUGUAUGCCCAACACAGAAAACCGCAGUUACGAUAACGAACGACAGUAUUUUUCAAAAAAUAUUUUUACAGCACUUUAAAUAACUUACAAAAAGCCGCAAAAACCAUAUAUACUGGGACACAUCUGUUAAAUAAAAACAUCCAUUUCAUGAUAGUGUACAUAUGUAUAGGGCUAUCUAUAUAUAAAGGACUCCAGUUUUCCCUCCGUGACUUCGAAUAGCACACACGCACGCAUGCACGCACACUGCUGCCCCAAUGUGACUGGAACCAGGACACCCAUCACAACGUGAGGCCUCUGCCCUUCACCACGGAGGUGCCACCGCCGUCCUCCACAGAAGUAUCACUGCCCAAGGCCUCCUGGUCCUCGUUGUCCCUGUCGAUGACCCUGCGUUGAUACCUCAGGUCC